GAUGAACGCUGGCGGCGUGCCUAAUACAUGCAAGUCGAGCGAACAGAUAAGGAGCUUGCUCCUUUGACGUUAGCGGCGGACGGGUGAGUAACACGUGGGUAACCUACCUAUAAGACUGGAAUAACUCCGGGAAACCGGGGCUAAUGCCGGAUAACAUUUAGAACCGCAUGGUUCUAAAGUUAAAGAUGGUUUUGCUAUCACUUAUAGAUGGACCCGCGCCGUAUUAGCUAGUUGGUAAGGUAACGGCUUACCAAGGCAACGAUACGUAGCCGACCUGAGAGGGUGAUCGGCCACACUGGAACUGAGACACGGUCCAGACUCCUACGGGAGGCAGCAGUAGGGAAUCUUCCGCAAUGGGCGAAAGCCUGACGGAGCAACGCCGCGUGAGCGAUGAAGGUCUUCGGAUCGUAAAACUCUGUUAUUAGGGAAGAACAAAUGUGUAAGUAACUGUGCACGUCUUGACGGUACCUAAUCAGAAAGCCACGGCUAACUACGUG
rnacentral:rRNA from 1 species